rnacentral:lncRNA from 1 species
GGAAAUAAAGCAUCUUUAUGAAUUUCCUUAGAGAAAUGCCAUAGCAAAGUCAGUAUCCAAUUGUCAGAAGUCCGUGCCUAUAAAUUGCUUUUCAGCACGUACGAAAUCCUGUUCUGAGCUCAUUAUAGAAUCAGUUAUGUAGCCCCUAUUGCAAAUAUUUUACAGCAUUUGUUGCUUAGGUUUGUUAAUAUGGUACUUUUAACAUUCAGAAAGAAGAAAAAAACUCCUUUUUUUUUUGGUUCUUUUAGUCGUAGGUUUCGAUUUAGCUAUAAUUUUGGUUCCUAUGCAUCACAAUCUAACCUCCAAUUUGUUAAGUGAAUCUAGUUUAUCCUUGUUGUUACAGCUUUUAAACUUUAAAUUAAAGAAAAUUUCAUUUCCCCUUCCCUAGCACUUCUUUGCUAACCACUCUCUUAAGCACCCUCAAUCUUCCCUUAGAACAUAAUAUCACUCUAUUACCUCUUUUAGGGAAUGGUGGUUUUCAUUUUUCCCAUGCAAAUUUUUUUUUUUUGGGUUUUAAGAAAGAAAAAACUUCAAAAAUGGUAGGAGGAAUUGGAAAGUUGGUGAGUUAAUCAUUUCUUUUCCAAUUUUUUGACCUUGUUAAAUUUGUUCAAUGCAUAGGAAUUGAAAGUUAAUGUGCUAAGCUCUAAAUAAUGGGAUUAUAUGAAAGUAAUGCGCAGUCGACACUAGGUGAAAGUCUUCCCAUCUGCCAGAAAUUACCCGUUCAAAUUUGAUUUCUAUUAUGAUUGACUCCUAUAAUGAGAAUAAGAAGGAAUUUCUCUCCAUGAUAGCUUGUUGUAUUUCAAGGGGUUGUGCUAAUUAUUUGGAUAACUGCUAGAGGACGAGAACUUCCUAUUUCUCGAGUCAUUUUCAGUCUGAAAACUGAAUCCACCAGAUAUCCUUUUGUUUUUCUUGAUAGCUAAUCAAAGCAAAACUUUUUUUUUUGGAUGAAAAUAAUCAAAGCAAAAAUAUAGUCCAACAAUUACAACACAACAAGAUGGGAACAUAAUCACUUAAACGUAUCAUAUUUCUUAUCAUUUUGUUUUUGUUCUCAUGCAGCGACUUCCAAACGAGGAGAGAGGGAAGGAACUUGGAGAUAUUGAAAACUUGACAGAAGAUAAAAUUGAAAAGAUUCUGCAGAAAUUUUUGCAUGAUCUGAAACAAGAUGCUCUAGAAGUGAAUGGCUGGCAGAUAAUGCUACCAGCAUAUAGCAUAUCGAAAGUGUCACUCAAUGCUUACACCAGAGUUCUUGCAAGAAGCGGGUGGGAAGAUAAUGCUACCAGCAUAUAGCAUAUCGAAAGUGUCUCUUAAUGCUUACACCAGAAUUCUUGCAGGAAGUUACCCGAAAAUGUGUAUCAAUUGUGUCCAUCCUGGAUAUGUAAACACGGAUAUAAACUGGCAUACGGGAACAAUGCCCGUAGAAGAAGGAGCUGAAGGCCCUGUUAUGCUAGCUCUUUUGCCAGAUGGAGGACCUACUGGUUGCUACUUUGAUCGUACUGUAGUAGCCGAGUUUUAGAUCCUGUUAUCAAACAAGGCUUAGUGAAAGACGCGUCUCUUAGUAUUUGGUUGGAUUUCUGUGCUGGGAUGAUGUCUGGUGGUUGCAUUUGUGGUUGAAAUAAUGAGGGAAGCAAAGAAUAAAAUUAAUCCCUUUAUGUGUCCAUAUCACCAGACUUGUUUUAGCACAUCAGUAAUGUUUUUGCUUGAAUUAAUCUUCUAGUUUGACAAAUCAGUUUCAUAAAUCACAAUUACUAUUUGGUUCUCCGGGACAGAGUGGGGGCAUUGGCAUCUAUACUCGUUUUUUUACCACAUUUUAACUUGUGUCCGUUUUGCAAAAAAAUUGUAAGCGUAUCUGCUUUUUCACGUAACUUCAACUUCGUGGGCUGAAGUUUUUCUUUUGUAUUGGAAAAUUUCAGCCGAAGUUUUUGUCUUUGUAACCGAAAAAACUUAAGCAGUUUUCCAGCUUAAGUUAUAAAAUGAAAACUUAAGCCCUAGAGCUGAAGUUUUCCAAUUAUAAAACAAAAACUUCAGCUCUUUCCAGUUAUAGUUUCUAUGUUAAAUUUCCAGUUUAAGUUUUCCAGUUAUAAAAUAAAAACUUGAGCAGUUUCCAGCAUAAGUUUUUAUUUUAUAACUGGAAAACUUAAGCCCUAGAGCUGAAGUUUUCCAAUUAUAAAACAAAAACUUCAGCUCUUUCCAGUUAUAGUUUCUAUGUUAUAAGAUGAGGAGAAAGAAAAGCUAAAGUUUUUUUAAAAGUGUGUACGGAUGCAAACAAAAAGACAAUAUUUGUACAUACUAACUGGUAAAAGACCAUUCUCAUGACUCUUCAAUUAAAUAUCAAAGAAUAUCAAGUAAGCAUCAUGUGUUAAAAUUGCUUUUGCAAAUAAAACAAUUACGUGUUUGGACUUUGAAUAUUGAUAUUAAAUAGUUGAUGUGUAGUAAAAAAUGUUGAUAAAUUGUUUUUGUUGAAAUAAGUAAACUACUCUUAAAGUUAUUUAAAUGCAAGAUAUAAGUUUAAAAGUAUGUUUACAGGGAGGAUACUAGGAUCAAUCACUUACCAUUAUGCCAAAGCUACAACUGAUAACAAGAGCGCAUCACCAUAGAUAAGAGGAUUGUUGGCAAGGAUGAACGACAGAAAUGGAAUGGAGUUUGGAGAAAGUAUCUUGGGGGAAAUACAAGAGAUAUUAGAGUUUAUGACUUUUGACUCAUUUUAGUGUAUAAGUAUUUGGUUUAAAAUUACUUUUGGAAUUUAUUAAAUACCUAUUAAAUAACAAAAAUAUUCGACCAACUUAUAAAAUUACCAUAAUAUUUGACACUUAGAAUUUUGAUCAAACUAUGAGCAUGUGACACUAGCUCCUUGUAAUAUCGGAAAACAUACCCAAAUAUCAUUAUUUUAGUGUAUAUUUGGAUCUCGAAACGUACAUCUCUUUACGAAUUUGCUUUAGUUUUUUGAUCCUACCUAUAUUUUUACACAUGGGAAAUUUACUUUUACAAAUAAAAGAUCUAUUUUUUACUCAUAAGAAAUCUAAAAAAACUUUUUUUAUAAUUUUAAAAUUAUAAAGGGAUAUAAUAUAUAAAUAACACCAUUUUUUCACGGGUCAACUUCUUUUUUUUUCCUAAUAGUUGUAGUAAUACUCCAUUGUUUUAGUUGUAGCACUGCAAACCCAUUUGAUUUAUUAUAUGAAUUUUUACCUCCUAUAGCAAAGAUUGAUACCUUAUUUAUUUUAAAUAAAUAUCCUUUUAAAAAAUUAUAUUUUAUAGAUACCGUUUGAUUUUUAUGGCCAAAUAUCUAUUUAUGGUUACCUCCUACUCUAAAGCUAUAAAAUACUCUUUGUAUUAUUUUUCUCUCUCAUUCUUCCAUAUUUUUCUCCAUCCUCUCUCUCUCAACCCCAGUAUCUCUCCCUCAACCGCCAUGGAAAUCCAUAUCAAAACUUCAAUCAUAGAUAUUAUACUCUUCCUUCUUCAUCCAAAAACCAUAUCAAAACAGUGAAAUUAUUGAAUAAUUUAUCUAAAUUGAAGACGAUGUCGAGAAAAUGAAUGAGAACUCUUAAUUGGUUUUCUCGUGAACAUUCAACAACUGAUAGUACUUCUCCAUCUACUUCUCAAUUUUCUUCCCCUUCGCAUUUCGGAUUUUCACCUUCUCGGCUGAGUUUUUCAGAAGUGGUGAUCGAUUGAACUUUGAAAAUGGCGAGGAGGCUCGUUUUAGCCGCUUUGAUGUAGGUUGCUUGAAUAUGUAACACCCUGCAAAUUUGAAUCAGUUGUGGAUGCAAUAAAUGAGUAUUAAUAUGAUGUUUAUCAAUUGAUUAUGAUAAUAAGCGUACGAGGCAUAUUAUAAGUGAUUUGGGGUCCAAGGAAAGACCUAAGUCUAAGCCAAGUUGGAAAAUUACAUGAUAGACUAAAAUUCUAAAUGAGCACGCACAAGACUAUAUUUUGGACAAGAAUAUCUACAUUUAUUUAAGGUAAUAUGUGAUUCACAACCUAUCAAAUGAAAGAUCUUUGAGUCUAGUGUGUAACGCUUCAAACCGUUCGCCAUUUGGACACUUCUACUAGAAGUUAUGACCAAAUUACCAAAAGCAGUGCAGAAUUUUACACUACUGCGCCGCCCCAUACGGCGCGGAUGUGUAAAUUAUAGAGAACCUCCAAAUUUCGUUUCUAAAUACAUUUUCAUUACCACGCCUCCUCAUGCGUCGCCCCACGCGUCACGGCUGUGCAAAUCUUUGUUUUUAUGUCAACUCGACCCUAUUUUGAUAUAAAACUUUCGAGGAUUAUUUUCCCCACUUUAUUUGGACAAAUUUUAGGGUUUUCCUCCACCCUCGCAAGACCUCCAACCCCUCCUAUCUUCAAGGUAAUCAAUCCCCAUUAUCUUGGUGUGCAUUUCAUCAUUUAUACACUAGUGUUGAUGAAAUCUACACAUAAAAUACUUAGAUCUUCAAGGGAUUUCUUCAAGAACUCAAAGGAGGGUUUUGCAAGAUUUCUUCCAAAAAGGUAAUCAUGAACCCUUAUACUUACAUGUAUAGAUUUAUUAAGGGAAUAUGAGUAUGAAUAAGUAUUGGAACUCUUGGUAUGUUGAUUGGAAACAAUAAGUUCCCAAUUUAAUUACACAACUAUUAUAGAGAUUGAAAGAUGUUUAUAUAAUGAAACUUUAUUGGUUAAGGGUGUUGUUUACCUUAUGGGUGAUAAAGAAUAAUAUUGAUUAUAACCAUUUAAGACUUUCGAAUUUAUCCAAGAGCUGGAGAAUUGGUUAUUGGGUAUAGAAACACUAUUAAUAGGUAUUAUGAAGUUUUAUACUCACCAAGUGUUUGAUAAAAUGCCUAAAUGUCCAAAACAUGGAUAUUGUUGAAAUUUAUCCAAGAGCAAGAGAAUCGGUUAUUGCGUGUAGAAAUAUCAUUAAUAGGGAUUAUGAAGCUUUAUACUCACCAAAUGUUUGAUAAAAAGCCUAAGUGAUCAAAACAUGGACAUUGUUGCUAAUUUGGAAUCCCUUUGAAUUGUAUUAUAUAGAUUAAAGUUGAAAGGGUUGGCGAAUGUUAUAUUAUGCUCAAGAGAAGGAAGUUAAGGUAUGUGAGGCUAACUCUUUAUAUUUGGGAAUGUUAAUGAUUCUCCCUGCACUAUGUUUCUUUUACGACGUUACCAAUUGCCUCAUAAAUAUAGUUAAGCCUAGUUCCUUGAAUAGUUGUAGAACUUCUAUUUUCUAGCUUCAUAACUUGCUCAUGACUUUCAUUUUGAAUGUUGUGAGCUCAGUGCGUAUUCAAGAUAGACUUGGGUUUGAUGCCCCUGAGUCUUAGUAUAGAUUACUCAGUAUGCUAUAUACAGUUGAAAUUUCAGUAUUCAUAAUCAGUUCAAGAAUGCAUGUCUUAGUCUAGUCCUAUUCACUAUGUCAUUAUUAUAUAACCCAGUACGAUCCAGUAUUAUGUAACUCGUUGUGAUUAAAUAUUCACUAUCAUGUAUUGCAGUAUGAUUCUCAGUUUUUGAUUUUAAAUCCCUGAAUGUCGAACACCUGUAUUUGGGCCUGAGGACGCAGUUAAUGCUUUAUGCAUCUUUGGGUCUGAAGCCGCAAUUUAUGCUUUAUGCGUUUUGUACCUGAGGUAGAAGUUAUGUAUUCAUAUAUUUAGGCUCGAGGCCGCAGUUUGUGCACAUAUAUAUUCGGCCCGAGGCCGCAUUUUAAUAUUCAGAUAAAUAGGUUGUUCAUCAUUCAGAAUAGUUAGUAUUCAUAUCCUUACUUCCUUUGUUCAGUUCAUUUAUCAGUUAUCAGUUAUCACUUCAGUUAUUAGUUAUCAGUUAUUAUUUAUCAGUUAUCACUUCAGUUAUUAUUACAGUUCAAUUUUGAUAGUUAUUAUUUCAGUUAUCAAUUAUCAAUUAUCAAUUCUCAGUUAUCAACUCAGUUUUAGUUCCAGCAUUUAUAAUUCUUUCUUUCAGUUGCUUUACAUACAAGUACAAUUCAAAUGUAUUGAUGUCCUUUUAGUCUGGGGCCUGCAUUUCACGAUACAGGUAAUGUUUUACAGGUUGAUGAUUCAAAGUGCCAGGAUUCUCGUACCAGCUAUUUGGUGAUCCCCAGUUCUUUCGGGGUAUUAUCAUUACUUUAUAGUCUUUCGGCAUUUACAGAUAGACAGUGUUUUCGGUACUUGAGUAGAGACUUCAUAGACUAGACCGAGCCUAGGUUCGAGGCAUUACAAAGCUUGGUAUCAAAGCACUAGGUUCAAGAGUCUUUGGAGUCUUUGAUGCCUUGUCUAUUGGAGUUUCCUUUAUAUGUGUGUGCCGACCACUCAUAUAAACGGUUAACUACUAGGACAAGGUUAACUACUAGGACAUUCAGGAAUGUCUCACUUCUUUCUACUCUAGAUCGUGCCAUGAAGCUUAGAGAAAUAGUUAACCUUCUCUUUCUAUCGAAUUCCAUACGUAUCGAAUGCCCAAGCGGCAGUCAAGAAAAUGCUAAGAUUUGAGAAAAGAUGAUUUGCCUAUUGUGGUAUUACUAUGGAGUACAUAUUGGUAACAAAUAAGAUUUGAGAAUAUGUUGAAACUGGGAUGCAAUGGAUAAUAGUACUGAUUAGAGCAUAACCUUAUUAAAAAGUACAAAAGCAGUCAUUAUAUUUUAUGGUUAUCAGUUUAACUCAGUUACCAAUUAUACAGUCUUUCAGUUAGCAGGUUUAUGGUUAUUCUGUAUGCCAGUUGUUUGUUAUUCAGUUACUAGACCUCCAAUUUUUUAAGUGUCUCAAUAUUUCUGGAUAUUUGUGAGUAUACAGUGAUGCAUAUGAAUGUUCAAAGAAAAUGUAAGUAACAGUGAUUAUUGCAAAAUCUUCGCAUGUUUAGGUAUUAAGACCCAAGACUCACCGGAUAGUGCAUGAAGUGAUUAUCAUAUGUGUAUGGCAGUGUAUCUGCAUGUCAGGACUCACGGUGUAAUAGGUUAAGAAUUCAACCACAACAGGCAUAAAAUUGAUCACUAUAGUUUUGGACAGAAAAUAGCCUAAGGGAAAUAUAGCCAAGAAUAGUAUGAUGUACGAAAUGAGAACCAAGAGAAGGCGAUACUGAAUUUUUUAGGGAAUGAUUUUGAGUUGUAUAGAUUUAUUCAAAUUAGAACUAGAAAGUACCAUGUUAGUGAAAUUUUAUAUGAAAUGGCUAUUAUUGUGAGAUAAAAUAUAUGCCAGUUCCUCUUCACAUAAUGUGACUAUGUGUUUAGGCCGGAGCUUUAUAGUCUGAAGUGAUUUUUAAGUGUAUAGAAAGUUUGGGAUUAAAAUAUCCAAUUUUUUUUAAGAUAUAUGAAAUUUUUCUAAGCGCGAUCCAUGUGCAUAGUUUAAAAAGAAUGACAGUGUACGGCAAGAGAAUAUGGUCAGAUGAUGAGGGAAGUGAGGAUAAACCUUAUGCUUCAAUUUAGUUAUUAAAAUCAGAGCAAGAAAAAAUGAUGUUAGCAGGUGGUUAGUACAAGAAUAGUAAAUAAGUUUUGAGUAAAUAUAGUAAAUUAGCAAUUUCAGCAGAGCUAGCAGAGGCAAGAUUCGAUUCACUUAGUCGGGUUAACCCCAGUGAGUGGAUGACAGUUUGAAAUAUCGAACAUGUGUUAGAAUCCAAAGAGUUUAAGUUAAACCCGAAGUACAGUGACAGUGAAAAUAAAUAGAUAAUAGUGAAAAGGCAAGCAAUAGAAGAAUAGCCUUUAGGAAUUAUCGAAAUGUGGUUUCUCCAUGAUUGAUAGUGUGAGUAGAAUUAAAUUAUUAAGAUUAUGUAUGAUAGUUGUGGGUACAUUAGCUUCCCGUUAUUUGAAUUUAGUUUUUCUAGCUCAGAAGAAAGUUGAAAGAUGAGUCGCCAUUGACCUAGAGUGCAAGGAAUUUCCAAAAAUAAGGAAAGUUAUUAUGACCCCAACAAAAAGAGAAGGAUCCACAAGUAUUAGAUCUUUGGUCUAAGGGAUGAAGCAAAAAUUUUCAGUAAGUCCAGUUAGAGAUUUGAAAUCCGAAUAGUUAGCAUGGAUAUGAAAAAGAAAAUCAGUUCAGUAAUAAGGAAAAAUUGUAUAAUUACCACAAGGAAUAUGUCUAUCAUGUGUAAGAAACACAAAGUGAGUAUAAUGAUCACUGAGCUUAGCCAUUGAUGAUAAAGUGAUCACAUAAAAGCUAUAAAAUCAUGCUCAUUUAUGUGUUACGAGGGUAGUGUCAUUGCAUGAGACUCUAAUACUCCGAGUAGUGGUCAGAGACUUAGCUAAAUAAUACUAAGUGUUUUCGGAAAGUGCUUAAGAAGAUAAUUAAGUAUGGGAAGUAUAGCUCAUGAAUGAGGUAGAUGAGAGAACUAUGUUGAAAUGGGUUCACUACAUAGCCAAGGUAGGACUUAGACUACCGGACAUCAAAGAUAGUGGAGUUGUCUAAAAUAGGACAUGUUCCUCCUUAGUAGCCGAAGUGAAAAAGAAAUGAUUUGAUGAUCCAUGCUUGUUGUAGCUGAAAGAGGGGAUUCAGGCAUAUAAAUGAUGGCUUUUGAACAAGGGGAGAUGAUGGUACUUCGAGGUACCAAGAUAGAUUGUGUAUUCCAACCAUAGAUGGACUUAGCGAAGGAGGGAAGACGUUAGAAGCCCAUAAUUUCAGGUAUUCUAUCCACCUAGGUUUCUCAAAGAUGUAUCAUGAUCUUAAGGAGACUAUUGGUGGAACGACAUGAAAAAGAAAGUUGCAGACUUUGUGGCCAAGUUUCUGAAUUUUCUGCAAGUAAAACUCGAGCAGUAGAAAACCAAAUAUUUAUCUCAGAACACACAUAUCUUUUAGUGGAGAUGGUAAAUAUGGACCUUAUAAUUGGAUUAUCUCGCUCAUUUAGUUGGUUCAAAGUUGGCGAAGCAGAGUUGCUGGGACAAGAUUUGGUCAAUCUAUGGAGAAAGUCAAGUUGAUUCAAUAGCAUUUGAAGAACAUCUCAGAGUUUCCAAAAGUCAUAUCCGAACAUGCAACAUAGAGACCUACAAUUUCAAGUUGAGGAUUGGGUGUUUCUAAAAGUUUUGCCUGUGAAAGGCGUUAUAAUUUGGCAAGAAAGGACAGCUCAAUCCCAGAUAUAUCAACCCAUAUAGGAUCCUAUGAAUGAUUGGGUAAGUAGAUUAUAAGUUAGAAUUUCCACCAUAAUUUGUGGUUGUACACCAGUAUUUCACGUGUCAUGUUAUAAAAUUCAAGUUUCCAGUAUUUAGAUCUCAUGUCACGAUAUUUAUGUUUGUAGCAUUCAGAUCUCAUAAUAGAACAUUCAAGCCAGUUCAGUACUCAGAUACUCAUGUCAGUCAAGUACUCAGAUAUUCAUGCUAGCUUAGUACCCAGAUAUUAAUGCUAGUUCAGUGAUCAGAUGUUCACGUCAGUUCAAUACUCGAUAUUCGUUCCAGUUCAGUAUUCAUAUAUCCACGUUAGUUUGGAAUUCACGUAUCCAUAACAAACAAGUGUUCAUGUAUAUGUACAAUGUUAUGCAUAUCAUUAUUCCCUAUGGAGCUAGUAUUAUGCUCUGUUAGCUGGUAGGUAUUUUGGAGAAAUGACAAAUGUAUCUAACCUUCUCAUUCAGGCCUUAUAUUACAAUCUUCAUGUAUUUCGGUAUUUAGUCGAUUUAGUAGCCAUUCAGUCUAGGACCUCAUCAGUUUAAUAAUCGUGUAUUCAUUCAGUUUAGAAUGCAAGUGUUAAUGAAAUUUCAUGUUCCCACCAGACCCAUUAAAGGUCCGGCGUUAGCCGAGGAUGUAGCCAGGACAAUCAUUCAAGGACGAAUGAUCCCAAUGGGGAGAUAAUGUAACAACCCGUAAAUUUGAAUAUGUUGUGGAUGAACUAAUUGAGAAUUAAUGUGAUGGUUAUCAAUUGGUUAUGUUAAUAAGUGUAAGAGUAAUAUCAUAAGUGAUUUGAGGUCCAAGGAAAGACCUAAGUCUAAGCCAAGUUGAAAAAUUACAUGAUAGACUAAAAUUCUAAAUGAGCACGCACAAGACUAUACUUUGGAAGAGAAUAUCUACAUUUAUAUAAGGUAUUAUGUGAUUCGCAACCUAUCAAAUGAAAUACCUGUUAGUUUAGUUUCUAACUCUUCAAACCGUUCGUCAUUUAGACAUUCCUACAAGAAGUUCUGGCCAAAUUAUUAAAGACAUACCACCCAGUUAUUUUGGCGGACAGCGAAGCAAGCUCGCUUCGCCAAAGUAGACGCAGGUUUUUGUCUUCCCUUGAAUGCAAUGGACAUAGAAGAGAGGACACUUCGCUAGAGUAGAUGCGCCCCAGUCCCAUCUCUUUUAAGUGCACAAGAAUAUACUUUGGAUGAGCAUAUCUAUAUUUAUGUAAGGUAUUAUGUGAUUCAUAACCUAUCAAAUGAACGAUCUUUGAUUCUAAUUUCUAACGCUUCAAACCUUUCAUCAUUUGGACACUUCUUCCAGAAGUUAUGACCAAUUUACCAAAAGCAGCACAAAAUUUUACACUACCGCGCUGCCCCAUGUGUCGCGGAUGUGCAAAUUAUCAUAGCACCUCAAAUUUUCGUUUCUAAAUACAUUUUUCAUUACUAUGCUGCCCCAUGCACGGAGACUAUGCAAAUAUUUAUUUAUUUUGUCAACCCGACCCGAUUUCGAUAUAAAACAUUUGGGGGUUAUUUUCCCCACUUUAUUUGGAUGAAUUUUACGGUUUUCCUCCACCCUCUCAAGACCUCCAUCCCCUCAUAUCAUUAAGAUAAGCAAUUCCCAUUAUCUUGGUAUAUAUUCCAUCAUUUCUACACUAAUAUUGAUGAAAUUUACUCAUAAAAUACUUAGAUCUUCAAGGGAUUUCUUCAAGAACUCAAAGAAGGAUUUUACAAGAUUUUUUCCAAAAAUGUAAUCAUACACCCUUAGACUUAUAUGUAUGGAUUUAUUAAGGGAAUAUGAGUAUGAAUAAGUAUUGGAACUCUUGGUAUGGUGGUUGGACCCCAUAAGUUUCCAAUUUAAUUACACAACUAUUAUAGAGAUUGAAAGAUAUUUAUUUAAUGGAACUUUAUUGGUUAAGGGUGUUUUAUACCUUAUGGGUGAUAAAGAAUAAUAUUGAUUAUAACCAUUUAAGAUCUUAGAACUUAUCCAAGAGCAAGAGAAUCGGUUAUUGGGUGUAGAAACACCAUUAAUAGGGAUUAUGAAGCUUUAUAUUCACCAAGUAUUUGAUAAAUUGCCUAAGUGACCAAAACAUGGAUGUUGUUGCUAAUUUGGAAUUCCUUUGAAUUGUAUUGAUAUAUAUUAAAGUUGAAAUGGUUGGAGAAUGUUAUAUUAUACUCAAGAAAAGGAAGUUAAGGUAUGUGAGGCUAACUCUCUAUAUUUUGGAAUGUUAAUGAUUCUCCCUACACUACGUUUCUUUUACGACGUUACCAAUUGUCUCAGAAAUAUAGUUAAGCCUAGUUCCUUGAAUAGUUGUAGAACAUCUAUUCUGUAGCUUCAUAACUCGCUCAUGACUUUCAUUCUAAAUGUUGUGAGCUCAGUGUGUAUUCAAUAUAGACUUGAGUUUGAUACCCCCGAGUCUUAGUAUAGAUUACUCAGUAUGCUAUAUACAGUUGAAAUUUCAGUAUUCAUAAUCAGUUCAAGAAUCCAUGUAACUCAUUGUGAUUCAAUAUUUCACUAUCAUGUAUUGCAGUAUGAUUCUCAUGAUUUUAAGUUCCUAAAUGUCGAACACCUGUAUUUGGACCUGAGGCCGCAGUUAAUGUUUUAUGCACCUCUGGGCCUGAGGCCGCAAUUAAUGCUUUAUGCAUAUUUGGACCUGAGGCCGCAGUUUAUGCUUUAUGCAUUUUGGACCUGAGGUCACAAUAAUGUAUACGUAUACUUCGGCCCGAGGCCUCAAUUUGUGCACAUAUAUAUUGGCCCUGAGGCUGUAGUUUAAUAUUCAGAUAAGCGGGUUGUUCAUCAUUUAGAAGAGGGAGUAUUCAUAUCCUUACUUCCUUUGUUCAGUUCAGUUAUCAGUUAUUAGUUAUCGUUUCAGCUAUGAAUUAUUAGUUAUCAGUUAUCACUUCAGUUAUUAUUAAAAUUCAAUUUUGAUAGUUAUCAUUUCAGUUAUUAAUUAUCAAUUCUCAGUUAUCAGCUCAGUUUUAGUUCCACCAUUUACAAUUCUUUCUUUCAGUUGCUUUACAUACCAGUACAAUUUAAAUGUACUGACUUCCUUUUUGCCAGGGGCCUGCAUUUCACAAUGCAGGUAAUGAUUUACAAGUUGAUGAUUCAAAGUGCUAGGAUUCUCGUACCAGCUAUUUGGUGAUCACAGUUCUUUCGGGACAUUAUCAUUACUUUAUAGCCUUUAAGCAUUUAUAGAUAGAUAGUUUUUUCAGUACUUCAAUAGAGGCUUUAAAGACUAGAGUAACAGCUAGACGGAGUCGCAUGCUUUUCAUAUUAAGCUAUGUUGACUACAAUAUGUUUCAAAAUUGUAUUAGUAUUUUCGCACUUUAAUUUUUAUCAUUUAGACUUUCAGCAUAUCACCAUGGGUUAGUUUAUCUUCCGCAGUUAGUAUGUUAUGACAUCAUAUGUUGAUUCAGCCAGCCAGUUGGUUCGCUCGGUCACAUGUAGUCAGGUACCGAGUGUCGUGUUACGUCCAGGCCCAAGUUCGGGGCGUGACAGAAUAGAUCCAUUAGGGUUUUUUAUUGUAAUUCAAUGUAUCUCAUUGUAUUUCAUGUAUUUCAAUGUAUCUCGUUGUAUUAUAUGUAUUUCAUUAUAUUUAUUGACUCGCUAUAUGGCAUGAAUGUAUUCAUAUAUUUUUUUAAUUAAUAUAAUAUAUAUAUUUAGAUGUAUUAUAUAAAUUUUCUGAAGAUUCCUAUAUUUUUGGGUAUUUUCAUGCUGAGAAUCUUUUUUAUAACUGAAAAUAUAAAAUUUAUGUGUUAUAAUUGAGUUUGUUGAGUUAUAUUAGGAGUCUAUUAUGUUAAUUGAUUCACCUUCCGUUUAUAAAAUAGUGUAAUCCCUUAUUUCACGCUAUGAAUACAGUCGAAUAUAGUUGAAUACAAUAAUCCGUCUAGCUAUAAUCCCAUGUUUCACUCCACAAAAACAGUCGAAUACACUCGAAUAAAAUAACGCUUCCUUGAUUCACGCCUAUUUUUGCUAUUGUAUUAGUGAAUAUAAUAGCUUAAAUACAUCAAAUACAUCUUAUAACCACACAAAAUAUAUUUAUAAUCUGUAAUAUAAUAAAUGGUAUAAAUGGCAGUGGCGGAUGUACUCAUUAAAAAUGGGUGCUCGAGCACACAUUAACCUCGACGGAGAGUAUGUAUAGUUAUAUAAAAAAUUUGAGAAAACGUAUAAAAAUUUACAAAAGCACCCAUUAAUUUUAUGUACAAAAAAAAUUCAGCACCCACAAACUUGAAUUCCAAGAUCCGCCACUGAUAAAUGGUAUCUAUAAAUGGUAUUCAGUGCUUUGUGAAAAUUUAUCUGUAUUAUACUUGCAGGUGAGUCCACCCGUAGGUUGAACCCAUAAAAUUUACAUCCUAGAUUCGCCUCUGCGCAGAAGAUCUUUCAACCUCAAAGGAUACUAGCAAUGGCAGUUAAUGUAGAGAAGGCACCUGAAAAGUACCUCUUUCCUCCUAUCAUGUUUCUUCUUUUGGAAUGGUGUUCUUAUCCCUUCUUCCUACAGGAUUCUAAGGUAGAAAAGGUUAGAAACUUUGAACUGAAGUGAUGGGAGAUGCUUGUAGGUAUGCAGUGGUUACGGGAGCAAACAAGGGAAUUGGCUUUGAGAUUGUCAAGCAGCUCGCAGAUUCAGGAGUGGCGGUUAUAUUAACAGCCAGAAACGAGAAGAGGGGAAUGGAAGCAAUAUCCUUGCUGAAUAAACAAGGUGUUUCAAAUAUUGUUUUCCAUCAGCUUGAUGUUCAAGAUGCUCAGAGCAUUGAUUCCUUGGAAAAGUUCAUACAAACACAAUAUGGG